UAUGGCAGUUUCGUACCUCGUAGGUGAUGUAGGAGUUAGUAGUGAUUGUAUACAUUAUAGAAAAACAAUAUGAUUCUCCAGUGAAUUAUCACAGCGAGUAAGCGUCCUGUUAAUAAUUAAAUCGUACGAACGGUAGGACUGGGUAGGAUUGACUAGGAUUCGUCGCUAUAACCAAAGAUCUUUCAAGUUCUGACGAUAUAAAAAUACUUCAAAAAAAUCGACUUUAAAAUGGUAAAGUUAUAUGCACUGACUGUUCUAUAUAAAAGUCCUCCGUCAGUAACGACGCUGAAAGCUGCUUACGAUGUAGAGUCGUUCUCGUUUUUUCAAAAGAAUAGUAUUAAAGAGUUUAUGUGUUUUGUCAGUAAAACCAUUGUAGAAAGAACGCAGACUUGUGCCAGGCAGAGCGUCAAAGAAGGAGAAUACAUGUGUCAUGUCUAUGUACGAGCCGACAAUCUCGCUGCAGUUCUCAUCUCGGAUCAUGAAUAUCCUAGGAGAGUGGCUCAUACUCUAAUUACAAAAGUGAUGGAAGAGUUUAUGGAGAAACAUCCACCAUCGACAUGGCCUGCGCUUAAAGAAGUCACCGCUGACUUUCCACAGAUUAAUACGUAUCUAGCCAAGUAUCAGAAUCCAGUCGACGCGGAUGCGCUCACGAAAAUGCAGAACGAUCUAGAUGAAACCAAAAUUAUUUUGAUGCUGUUUGGGAUCGAAAAGCAACAUUGGCUGUUACAAGCUUGUAUGAAGCAAAUAUAGAAAUGAUGGAUUAUCCUAAAAAAAAAAAGGAAAAGUAUGAGACGCAAUAAGAAUCAGACUACUGAAGUUUGGAAUAAAGAUGACAUAUGACCAAGUCCAAUGGAAAAUCGUUAAUGAAAUUGAUUAAUGAAAUGCAUUAAUGAAAAGGUACAGAGAAGUAGUAGACAAUAAUUCAAAGUCGGGAAGGGCUUGCAUGGACUAAGAGUGUAUAAGCAGUUGGAUGAAAUUUUAGGAUCGCGACAACGUGCCAGUACUGGGCAUACUGUUUCAUCGAAAUUAUCAACAUCUGUCACUUGUACUUCGACUUCUGAAAAAGAAUAUUUGAGUGAAUCCUCUUCAAUUCAGACCAGUCCAUCAAAAUUAAUUUUAUCGAAGAAUGAUCUUAUAAACUCAAAUAUUACUAGCGUGAAAAAUCGUAAGCGUUCCUCUCAUGGGACGGGCUCCAAAACUGUAGCAACAAAGGUAGAACUAAAAAAACAGUGGCUACAUCAUUUACAAAGAAGACCGUGAUCAUAUUAAAGAUCAAACAAAUGCAGAUUUGUUGGAGGCUAAAAAAGAAGCUCUAAAGUUAAAAAAAAACAACUUGAUUUAAAAGACUCUGAAUUGGAGCAACGAAAAGAAAUCGCAAGGAAGAAAACAAAAGAAAAAAAAACCCGUCAUAUGGAAUUAUUAGAAAUUGAACAAUUAAAAUACGAAUUGUUAAAGAAACUUGUAGAAGACGAAGAAAAUGUCCAUAAAAUUUCAGAUUCUGAUUGAAAUUCUAUAAUUAAA